AAACCAAAAAUAAAAAUAAAAAAGGAAAAGACAACAAAAUAAAAUAAGCAAUGUCUGAUAUCCUCAUUUGGAAAGGGGUAAAAACCCUUUCUCUUUCUAGAACCUCCGGCUUCUCUCUAGACUUGUCUUCUCCGGCAAAAUUUUUGAGGUGCAAGAGUGAUGAAGCUUGUGUAUGGUGUAUGUUUACACCUUGAUUCAACUCUGAUUUGCCUUCACCUUCUUCAUCGAGCAAAAUAUUAGGUACAAUCUUCAUUUUGACCUUACAAUUCCACCAUUCUUGAUUUUUGACGCGAAUGCCUUUAUUUCCAUGUGGGAUGGUCUUUUGAGCUACUUGUAAACCCGAUGGUGUCAAGUCCUUCCUUGAUUUGCAAUUCCACAGGUGAUUCAUUCCCUUGCCCAGUAUCUCCAUGUUUGCCAGUAUCUUCAUGUGGUACCCUGCUGAUUUCAUCUUGCUUCUGUGCUGGACUAUUGGUUUAAACCAUGGAUCCCAGACAAGGGGCCUCAUCUGACAUUACCUUUCAUUGAUCUUCAAGUAAUACACAGGAGUGGACAACAUCUUGACAUAUUCUUCAAAAUGAGACAGCCUGAUCAAGAUGUAUCUUUCAUCAAUCAAGCCAACCUUGGUUGUUCCUUUGAUAGCACAUUGUAUAGGGAUAAUAUCACGUAGUUGCUUAAUAUCAAUUAUGUCAUAAGAGAACUUGCCAAGCACCGCAUAUUGUAAUUCCUCCUUAAUAAUCAUCUUUUUUACCUCAUUAGAACUCCAAGCAAUAUAGGGCUCACCAUCUACAAACUCAACAAUUUUUA